rnacentral:rRNA from 1 species
AUACAACUCAUCAACCCUGUGAACAUACCUAAACGUUGCAUUCGGCGGGAACAGACGGCCCCGUAACACGGGCCGCCCCCGCCAGAGGACCCCCUAACUCUGUUUCUAUAAUGUUUCUUCUGAGUAAAACAAGCAAAUAAAUUAAAACUUUCAACAACGGAUCUCUUGGCUCUGGCAUCGAUGAAGAACGCAGCGAAAUGCGAUAAGUAAUGUGAAUUGCAGAAUUCAGUGAAUCAUCGAAUCUUUGAACGCACAUUGCGCCCGCCAGUAUUCUGGCGGGCAUGCCUGUUCGAGCGUCAUUACAACCCUCAGGCCCCCGGGCCUGGCGUUGGGGAUCGGCGGAGCCCCCCGCGGGCACACGCCGUCCCCCAAAUACAGUGGCGGUCCCGCCGCAGCUUCCAUUGCGUAGUAGCUAACACCUCGCAACUGGAGAGCGGCGCGGCCACGCCGUAAAACCCCCAACUUCUGAACGUUGACCUCGAAUCAGGUAGGAAUACCCGCUGAACUUAAGCAUAUCAAUAAGCGGAGGAAAAGAAACCAACAGGGAUUGCCCUAGUAACGGCGAGUGAAGCGGCAACAGCUCAAAUUUGAAAUCUGGCUCUCGGGCCCGAGUUGUAAUUUGUAGAGGAUGCUUUUGGUGAGGUGCCUUCCGAGUUCCCUGGAACGGGACGCCACAGAGGGUGAGAGCCCCGUCUGGUUGGACACCGAUCCUCUGUAAAGCUCCUUCGACGAGUCGAGUAGUUUGGGAAUGCUGCUCUAAAUGGGAGGUAUAUGUCUUCUAAAGCUAAAUACCGGCCAGAGACCGAUAGCGCACAAGUAGAGUGAUCGAAAGAUGAAAAGAACUUUGAAAAGAGAGUUAAAAAGUACGUGAAAUUGUUGAAAGGGAAGCGCUUGUGACCAGACUUGGGCUUGGUUGAUCAUCCAGGGUUCUCCCUGGUGCACUCUUCCGGCCCAGGCCAGCAUCAGUUCGCCCCGGGGGAAAAAGGCUUCGGGAAUGUGGCUCUCUCCGGGGAGUGUUAUAGCCCGUU